rnacentral:rRNA from 1 species
CAGUAGCCGCGGGAAUACGUAGGGUGCGAGCGUUAAUCGGAAUUACUGGGCGUAAAGCGUGCGCAGGCGGUUAUAUAAGUCAGAUGUGAAAUCCCCGGGCUCAACCUGGGAACUGCAUUUGAGACUGUAUGGCUAGAGUGUGUCAGAGGGGGGUAGAACUCCACGUGUAGCGGUGAAAUGCGUAGAUAUGUGGAGGAAUACCGAUGGCGAAGGCAGCCCCCUGGGAUAACACUGACGCUCAUGCACGAAAGCGUGGGGAGCAAACAGGAUUAGAUACCCCGGUAGUCCCUGUCUCUUAUAC